UGGUUCACCACCUGAUCCUUUGGCAAGGAUACCUGGAGACAAGCAUGGUCAUCACAUGAGAGAGAAGAAUUAACUGCAUCCUUGUACCAAGGAGCAAAAGCGUGCUUGACAUGGGUCUACAUCUGAAUGGAUACCCUCUCUGCAGCUGAAUUGUUAGGCUCCUCUCACCUCACUGGGUUCUCAUCCCUCAUCUCUGUAAAGAUUCCUUCUACUCUAACAAACUGAGUGGUGCUGCAAAACUUUUAAGGUGCAUUCAUAAGGAGAAGAAUGUAUUAAGGAAAAGUGGAUGGCGAUGGGGAAUUCUGCUGCUGUCAUAGGCUAUUUCCAAUAAAAAGGCUUCAUGUGUUCCCGAAAGG